UCUGCUUGAAAACAUAAGGGUGUGCUGGGCACACCUGUAUCACCAGCACUGGGGAGGCUGAGGCAGGAGGAU
ensembl:miRNA